rnacentral:rRNA from 1 species
CCUACGGGAGGCAGCAGUUAGGAAUUUUGGGCAAUGGGCGCAAGCCUGACCCAGCAACGCCGCGUGGGUGACGAAGGCCUUCGGGUUGUAAAGCCCUUUUUGAGGGGAAGAUGAUGACGGUACCCUCCGAAGAAGCACCGGCUAACUACGUGCCAGCAGCCGCGGUAAUACGUAGGGUGCGAGCGUUGCCCGGAUUUAUUGGGCGUAAAGGGCGCGUAGGCGGCUUGGCACGUCCGUUGUGAAAUCGCCCGGCUCAACUGGGCGGGGUCAGCGGAUACGGCCGAGCUUGAGCAAGCUAGGGGGCAAUGGAAUUCCCGGUGUAGUGGUGGAAUGCGUAGAUAUCGGGAGGAACACCAGUGGCGAAGGCGGUUGCCUGGGGCUUUGCUGACGCUGAUGCGCGAAAGCGUGGGGAGCGAUCCGGAUUAGAUACCCUUGUAGUC